CAGGUCAGAGGGCAGAGUCCACUUCUGUCCACCCUGCAUCUCGUCUACAGGACUCAGCCCAGCACGGUGAGGCACGAAUACCCUGAGCCCGCAGGGCCCACAGCCUGGCCCUGAGGAACACGGGUGGGGUUUUGCUGAGCAGCUGGAGGCCGGUGUGGCGAGUGGAGUGCAAGGCCCACCCGGAGAGACGGGGCCCCAGAAGCCCUCCCCACCCCAGCCUCAGGUCGAGGGCACAGUCUGAGUGACUCUGUUGCCUGAGCUGCCACUCGGGCUGUGUGUGAGGCCAUCGAAUGCUCGCUGUGCUCUCUGAGUUGGACGUCCUGCUGCAGAAGAGGCCUCUUGACACCCACUCAACCCCUACUCAGUCAGAGGGCUGCCUUGGCUAAAAAUCUGCAUCCCAGUCGAGGCAGGCAAUGGAGCACCCUGCUGAAGUGCAGUAGCCAUGAAGCGGAUACCCCUGUGCCCACCGAUCAUCCCGACGUGAUUGCGAUGGCUGCAGCCAGCAGCGCUCUCGGGGGGCUGACUCGGCCAGGCUGUGCUCCGGCAGCCCCAGGGGGCCUCUGCCCCCCACAGCGAGCAGGCUCUGUGCUAUCCCAGGUCCACACACAGGACACUGGCCCUGAAAGAAGGCUGACGACUGGAAGUCAGAAGAUCUGGAUGUCGGCUGACGCUUUGGCUGUGGCCUGUCACAGAGGGAGCCUUCCUGUCACUUCCUGCACAGAGAAGGCCCUGCCACUUCGGUGGUUCUGCAGGACAGGGACAACAGGGAGGCUGCUCCUCCUGAAGCCUUUGCAAGCCCGUCAGUCCCACGGAGGCCAGAGAAGGAGAGUGACCUGCCAAGGAAGGUUCAGCUUUGGCAGCCAGGGGACCAAGCACACGGCCCAUUCCCACCCGGGAAAGUCUCGAGAGGCCUGGAGGAGGAGGCCUGGCCAGGCCUGAGCCGAGCGCCGUGUACUGUGAGACCACAGCAGGGCCCGCAGCUGCUUCCAGAAGCUCCGGGCCUGAGGAGGGGCUGGUGCAGCUCACCCUCAGUGCUUUGCAGCUGAUAGAACAAAGGUUUCUCCUCGGAGACCUCACCACAACCUCCCACCACGCCGGAGGGUGGACAAGCGAGAAGCCAGAGGCCCCUGUGCAGCUAAAAAAAGACAAUAAAAGCAAAAUAGGCA
rnacentral:lncRNA from 1 species